UCUGAGAUAAAUACAUUAGAUUGUGAUGUAAUGCAUUUAUAUAAUACAAUAGUGAAGAAUAAAAUACCCACUUUAAUCUCGAUAAAGCACCAAUAAUAUUGCUAAUAACAAUAUUGAAAUAUCUAAAAAUAUUUACUCAUGUGUAAAAGUAUUCUAUUAUUAAACUACAUUACUAAGUAUAUUGCUUACAUUUUUUAAGACAACUCUUUAUCAAAGUGCGCAUUUUAGAUUGCCUCCGGUACAAAUCGUUGUAUCUUUUCAGACAUUGUUUUCUUGUUCUUUUUUGUCCAGAUACUCUCCUCACUCUUCGCACCAUCUCACAUAGAAUUCUGUUUCUUGUGUCCUGAUCCAAAGUGAAAAUCCCUUUUUUCUUUUGGGGAAAAUAUUUAUCCAUAGUAUAGGAAAUAAGAAGAAUCCAUUAGAAAUCCAUGUAUUCCAUAUGAAAUAAAAACUGCGACAUAAAGGUCUUUCUAGAACAUAAGUUUACAGUAUACACCCUAUAUAUACCGUUUUCAUACCCUUUUCAUCAACUACAUAGAUACUUGUUUUGAAACCGUUAUAAAAAGACAACUUUAGUUUGUAUCAAAAAUAUUGUUAUUUUUUGUGCUCUUUAGUAUCUCAUUUUUACAAUGGCAUCUGCCCAAGCUGGAAACACCAAAAGCGGGAGAAGUAUAAUGUUUACUCAUCGGCAAAAUUGUAUUUUGGUAGAAUCGGUUAUCGAACACUACAAUGAAUUUAUUUUGUACCAAGCCAGAACUGUAAACCCACAGAGAAAAAGAUCAAUUUGGACACAAAUCAGUAGAUCUGUUUCAGCAGAAGGAAGUUUUCCUAAGGAUCUAAAGGCCUGUCGGAAGAGGGUAACUGAUAUUUGAAAAAACAUUAAGAAAAAGGUUUGCAGAGAAAACAAUCUUCCAAAGGAACCGGUGGAGGCCCCGGAUAUAGGGCAGAAUUAAUGGACUUUGAUCAGAUGCUUUAUGCAAGGAUGGGUGAUGCCGUUGUGGUUGGCCUGGAUGUUCCAGCAGACACUAUGGAUUUUAGAGUUAAGUUAAAGAGCAAGAACAUGAGGUACAUGAGGAAGAGGGGAUAGAUGCACAGGAAGAUCAACCUUUUGAAAAUGAAUAUACCUCUCAAGAGCAACAACCAUCCACCUCCACAGUACAAAGAGAAGAAGGGGCGAGUGUUCGUGAAUUACUACAAACCAUGCAGGACAGUUCUAUAUUAUUAUUCAAUGAAGAUCAUGUUGAAAUCAAUUUGGAACCUCUGGUUGAGGAUUCUGUAUGUCCAGAAGAUGAGGAUGAGACUCAAAUUGAGGGACACACACCAGAGGGACCAACCCCACCUAAUUUAGAAACUCCACAGAAUAUCAUGGACAAUGAAUCUGAGGAAGAUGAAAGACCAGAACAAUUGAUAAACCAAGAAGAUUUAACAGGCAGUGGAAAUGAAAUACAAAACCUCAGACAUGGCUUUGGGAUUCAGAAAUGAGCAAAGUGCUUUUUUUUAAAGAAAUGUUAAGAUUGCAAGAAGAAAGAAAUGCAGAAUUUAAAAGAAGAAUAGAAGAUUUUCUAAUCCAUAAUUACUUAUUAAUAUUUUUUGUUUUUGCACUUUAUUGUUGAAAAUACAUGUUCAAAGUUUUUCAUGUUGAAAAGUUGAGCACUCAUAUUUUUGUAAUGUUUAAGUUAGAUUUGCAAAACUGUUUGUUUAAAAAUGUUCAAUAAGUAUUUGCUAUAACAAUUUUAAAAAUUGUAUGUAAAUCUAAUAAAAAAUACAAGCUGUUGA